rnacentral:misc_RNA from 1 species
UCCGGCUUGUCACCGGCGGUCCCGUCAGAGUGCCCAGCUUAACCUGAUGGCAACAGACAGUAAGGGUUGCGCUCGUUGCGGGACUUAACCCAACAUCUCACGACACGAGCUGACGACAGCCAUGCAGCACCUGUCACCGGUCCAGCCGAACUGAAAGAGGGCGUCUCUGCCCCCCGCGACCGGGAUGUCAAGUGUGGGUAAGGUUCUUCGCGUUGCUUCGAAUUAAACAACAUGCUCCACCGCUUGUGCGGGUCCCCGUCAAUUCCUUUGAGUUUUAACCUUGCGGCCGUACUCCCCAGGCGGUGUGCUUAAUGAUUUCUCUGCGUCACCGAGGCUCUAGGAGCCCCAACAACUAGCACACAUCGUUUACAGCGUGGACUAC